rnacentral:rRNA from 2 species
UGCAAGUCGAACGAACUCUGGUAUUGAUUGGUGCUUGCAUCAUGAUUUACAUUUGAGUGAGUGGCGAACUGGUGAGUAACACGUGGGAAACCUGCCCAGAAGCGGGGGAUAACACCUGGAAACAGAUGCUAAUACCGCAUAACAACUUGGACCGCAUGGUCCGAGUUUGAAAGAUGGCUUCGGCUAUCACUUUUGGAUGGUCCCGCGGCGUAUUAGCUAGAUGGUGRGGUAACGGCUCACCAUGGCAAUGAUACGUAGCCGACCUGAGAGGGUAAUCGGCCACAUUGGGACUGAGACACGGCCCAAACUCCUACGGGAGGCAGCAGUAGGGAAUCUUCCACAAUGGACGAAAGUCUGAUGGAGCAACGCCGCGUGAGUGAAGAAGGGUUUCGGCUCGUAAAACUCUGUUGUUAAAGAAGAACAUAUCUGAGAGUAACUGUUCAGGUAUUGACGGUAUUUAACCAGAAAGCCACGGCUAACUACGUGCCAGCAGCCGCGGUAAUACGUAGGUGGCAAGCGUUGUCCGGAUUUAUUGGGCGUAAAGCGAGCGCAGGCGGUUUUUUAAGUCUGAUGUGAAAGCCUUCGGCUCAACCGAAGAAGUGCAUCGGAAACUGGGAAACUUGAGUGCAGAAGAGGACAGUGGAACUCCAUGUGUAGCGGUGAAAUGCGUAGAUAUAUGGAAGAACACCAGUGGCGAAGGCGGCUGUCUGGUCUGUAACUGACGCUGAGGCUCGAAAGUAUGGGUAGCAAACAGGAUUAGAUACCCUGGUAGUCCAUACCGUAAACGAUGAAUGCUAAGUGUUGGAGGGUUUCCGCCCUUCAGUGCUGCAGCUAACGCAUUAAGCAUUCCGCCUGGGGAGUACGGCCGCAAGGCUGAAACUCAAAGGAAUUGACGGGGGCCCGCACAAGCGGUGGAGCAUGUGGUUUAAUUCGAAGCUACGCGAAGAACCUUACCAGGUCUUGACAUACUAUGCAAAUCUAAGAGAUUAGACGUUCCCUUCGGGGACAUGGAUACAGGUGGUGCAUGGUUGUCGUCAGCUCGUGUCGUGAGAUGUUGGGUUAAGUCCCGCAACGAGCGCAACCCUUAUUAUCAGUUGCCAGCAUUAAGUUGGGCACUCUGGUGAGACUGCCGGUGACAAACCGGAGGAAGGUGGGGAUGACGUCAAAUCAUCAUGCCCCUUAUGACCUGGGCUACACACGUGCUACAAUGGAUGGUACAACGAGUUGCGAACUCGCGAGAGUAAGCUAAUCUCUUAAAGCCAUUCUCAGUUCGGAUUGUAGGCUGCAACUCGCCUACAUGAAGUCGGAAUCGCUAGUAAUCGCGGAUCAGCAUGCCGCGGUGAAUACGUUCCCGGGCCUUGUACACACCGCCCGUCACACCAUGAGAGUUUGUAACACCCAAAGUCGGUGGGGUAACC